UACGAAGGGGGCUAGCGUUGCUCGGAAUUACUGGGCGUAAAGCGCACGUAGGCGGCUUGUUAAGUCGGAGGUGAAAUCCUGGAGCUCAACUCCAGAACUGCCUUCGAUACUGGCGAGCUCGAGUUCGGGAGAGGUGAGUGGAAUUGCGAGUGUAGAGGUGAAAUUCGUAGAUAUUCGGAAGAACACCAGUGGCGAAGGCGGCUCACUGGCCCGAUACUGACGCUGAGGUGCGAAAGCGUGGGGAG
rnacentral:rRNA from 1 species